rnacentral:lncRNA from 10 species
GUCAGCUUUGCCGGGAGCUGGUCGGCAAGCAUUUGUAGCAAGCCAGCUGGAGAGGGCUGGGGUGCCUGCCUGUCUCAGAAUGGCCUCCACGCAGGGCUCUCCCUGACUCCACUCUCCUUUCCAAGUCACCUCACACCACAGUGAAAGCAGCAGAGGACUCAGUGGCCCAAAUGCAGGGGAGUCCAUUCCUCUGAUUCCUCUACCAAUGACACCCACUUCCUGCAGGCAUCAGGGCUGAGCCAGGCAUGGGCCAUGCCCUGCCCACUCCAGUGAGAUGGGUCAUUCACGCUGGGAAACCCACGUUACAUGGGACAUCAAGCCGGCUAACCUGCAUUCCCCAAGAUUCAUAUGCUGAGUCUUAACCCCCAGCAGCACAGAACGUGACUGUAUUUGCGGUAGCGCCUUUAAGGAGCUAAUGGAGGUGAAAUGGGGUCACUGGGGUGGCUCCUAAUGUAGUGGGACUGAUGUCCUCUUAAGGAGAGGAAAUUUGGACAGUGACACACACAGAGGCACAACCUUGGGAGGUCACAGGGUGGAGAUGGCAUCCACAAGCCAAGGAGAGAAGCCUCAGGAGAAACCAGCCCUGCAGACACCGUGGACUUGGACUUCCAGCUGCCAGAAUGUGGAAACAGGAAAGAGUUUAAGAAAUACACAUCUUUCCAGGAAGAUGGGAACAACCGACUUUCUUUACAAACGAAGCAGUUCUCAGGACUGGGUUGCUGCUGCUGCUCACCUGCCGCUGGUCGCUGGGGCUGAGAGGGGCGUUACAGACCCAUUUUACAGAAGAGGAGAAGCCCAUGGUGCAACUGUCUUGGUGGUGAAGGUGGCAGUAGCUCUCACACACUGAGCCCUGGGGUGUAAGAGUUCACUGCACGGUCUCCAGGACUCGUGUAAUCCUCAUGAGAACCCUGCCAGCUACAUAUCUUGUCCUGACACAACAGAGGCGUGAGGGGCUGCAGUGACUCUCACCCAGCCAGGUCUACUUCGAUGAUCCUCGCUGCAACCACUAUGCUUUGGGUCUCUGUUACUCAACACCUACCUUGCCAACACCUAGAAUAGGGUUCAGCCAAGUGGCUGUGGCGAAUGUGGGCUACGUGAGGAUCCUGCUCCAUAAAGACCCCACUCUGGGCUGUCAUUCAGAAUUACUCUGGAAAGAAAGUUGUGGUUCAGCGUGUCGCUUACUGCCAGCGAUCAAAGCAUCCAGGUUUAAUUUUGCCAAUCCCUGGGGGUCCUCGACAUCAGAGGGGCUGGUGGUUGUUGAUCCAUACACAAGCUAGGAGGUAAGGAAGACCCCGGCCCCCCCCGGCUGCUGUCCCCCACACCACUGGAAGACCGGAUGCUGGGCCUUCUGUUUCUCUCCAGGUGUGUGGGCUCGCCCGUGAGAUGGCCUCUUGUUGGAGGGAACACUGGGUCCUGCACCCCCAGGGAAGCUCCCGCGAGGACCGAUUAAACAGUGUUGUCAAUGUCACCAAGACUGCUCUGUAUAAACCAAAUGAAGGCCCUCAGGUCAGAUGAGAUAAUAAAGAGGAUAUUUCUACAGAGAUUCAGUGGGAAUCAAUUCAGUAAGAAAUUAGGAGGAAAAUAAACGGCCCUGAUCACCGAGGGGCCCCGCAGCUGCUCUGUCCUCACGUUUUCUAUCCCGUCAAGCCCUGAGCGACAAGGCAUGUGCUCAAGCAGGAGGCUCGGCUGCCCUUGGUGGGUAUCGGGGUGAGUAUCUGCACCUCCUUCCCUGAUCGGGAGACUUUAUGUCAAUCCACUGGCUUUACUUAGUGCAGUGACACAGGGGAUGGUGGAGGGGCUAAUGGAAGACGAAUGCAUCUGACAUUUCUAGAGCACCGUGGGGGGCCAGUGUUUCUACCCCGCUAGGAAAUAAAUGUGCAAUACCGAGUUUCUGAUGAAUACUGUGAGAAACAGUCCAAGGUUCAAAUUUAACAGCACGGGAAAAUGUCUUUUGAAUCAGAAGAUGAGAACCCAAGGGAGUUGAAUUAACAACAUAGCACAACAUUUUACCAAGUAAUAGGACCAUAUUUCCCCUUUAUGGGGCACUGCUCAGGGCAAUAUUUAAUCUCUUGAGUUUAAUGAACUUUUGAAACUACUCAAUAAAUACUCAAGGCCAUGACAAGCACUGUCAUAAGAUAAAUCCAGCCCUACUUCAAUGGACUAUAUCAUUUCUGUUAUUAAAAAAGGUUAAUUUUAAUAUUCAAGGAACUCAGUUCUCUGGAAAAUCACGUCGGGGCGCCGUGCGUUCCAUCCCGGUGGCGCCCUGUGAUCAUGCAUACUGAGCAGCGUGGGACUCCGAGCGGAAUCGCAGGGGAGCCUCUGCUUCCAGGGAGGCUGCGUCCUGACAGCAAAACACUCGUUUGGUGGAAGGAUCUGCCUCGGGUUCCUGUCCCUCCCCAGCCCAGAGGCAGCAUGUCCGGGUCCCGUGUUAAGGCCACUCACACUGCACGUUAAACCACUGGAGGAGUCCCUGUGACCGUGUCACAUGCCCGGGUUCACCUCCUGCAGCACGGGCUGCCCGACCACCACUUGGUCCUGCAAAGCUCUCUAGGCCUUUCUCCACAGCCCCCGCGAUGCUGAAACCCACGGCAAGCGAGGCGGGGGAAGGGUUGAGAAGUAGCCAGCUCUCCCCUAUCCCAUAAUAUCUCCAUGCUGAGUCACUGGGGCUGUCUUUCUCCCAAUUGCUCAUCUUUGCCUUUCUGCACAAUGCAGGCAGGGGGAAGUGUACCUGGCAGAAAAAAAUCCCAGAGCCCUGCAGGCCCCGGAGCUGCUGUCCCUCCUAGCGUCUCAGUGUACCCAAGGGCUUGCCUCAGGAAAGCUGCCUGACACCAGCAAAUUGGAUGCAGGGCAGGUAAUUAGGGACAGACAAUAUCCUCCCACUGUUAUUUCUUGUCCACCUACGCAAAAGAAGCAGAAGCACUGGUUCUCCGCUUUUCUACCUAAGGAUCGUUCUGCUCACAUUCCCCACGGGAGAGAAGAAGAGCUUUGGACCAACUGUCUUACUAACCAAGCACAGACAUGCUGCAACCAGGAAACAUCCCACAGGAAAUGAGACCAACAGAUACAAAACACACAGCUUUGCUGUCUAAGAAGGAGCCUCCUCUGUUUAGACAAUUGCUGAGCCCCUUACGCCACACGUGCAGAGUGGUGGGGCAUGUGUCUAGCCCUGGCGAUGUCCCUUAGUCCAAUAAAGCGGUUCGGAGGGCGCAGGUGGUGGACAUUCUCAUCUACCGCAGGAAGUGCCCUGGCUAGCAGGUCACCCACAAAAACCAGCUGCCCCCCACCUUUCUCCUGACGCAAGUGUCAGAUCAGAUAGGUUUAGCAAGUCCGGACCCAGCCCAGCCCCGACGGCUUCCAGGCCCCUCAAUACAGCACUCAGCCCCUCUCCCUAAAUGGCACUAAUUCUGUCCACUUGAGUAAAUUAUUGCGUUCCUGGGCUCACUUACUUGGCAAACCACAGAGUGGGCACAUCUUGGGGGUGUUUUCUAGAACAAAUGUCCAAGUGCUCUGAGGCCUGAGGCUGCGUGCAGACCUUCAACCUGGCACCCCAAAAUUCCCCAUGCAGGACAAAAAGAAGCAGACAGGAGCAGUGUGCUGUGGUCAGGCUACCCCCCACUGCGGCACUGCCUCCUCUUCCCCAGCUU